rnacentral:rRNA from 1 species
UAGGGAAUCUUCCGCAAUGGGCGAAAGCUUGACGGAGCAACGCCGCGUGAGUGAUGAAGGUCUUCGGAUCGUAAAACUCUGUUAUUAGGGAAGAACAAAUGUGUAAGUAACUAUGCACGUCUUGACGGUACCUAAUCAGAAAGCCACGGCUAACUACGUGCCAGCAGCCGCGGUAAUACGUAGGUGGCAAGCGUUAUCCGGAAUUAUUGGGCGUAAAGCGCGCGUAGGCGGUUUUUUAAGUCUGAUGUGAAAGCCCACGGCUCAACCGUGGAGGGUCAUUGGAAACUGGAAAACUUGAGUGCGGAAGAGGAAAGUGGAAUUCCAUGUGUAGCGGUGAAAUGCGCAGAGAUAUGGAGGAACACCAGUGGCGAAGGCGACUUUCUGGUCUGUAACUGACGCUGAUGUGCGAAAGCGUGGGGAUCAAACAGG